UGCUGGGUUGGGAAAAGCGAUCUGCAUUUCCCAGACGGAGUAUCGCUCGAUAGAUGACAUCAGCUAAUUGACGACGCGGUAUAUAUGAAAGAAGGUCGUAGCGAUACUGACUUGCAAAUCGUUCGUUAAAGUUGGAUAUAGGGGCAAAAGACUAAUCGAACCGUCUGGCAUCUGGUUUCUUCCGAGGUGCCUCUCAGGAUAGCUGGACUGGAGUUCAGUUAGUUUCAUCAGGUAAAGCGAAUGAUUAGAGGCCUCCGGUCAGCGUUGCCCUCGACCUAUUCUCAAAGGUUAAAUGGGUAAGAUCCAGUGGUUACUUCCUUGAACUGCUGGAGUUAAUAUGAACUCAAAGUGGGCGAUUUUCGGCAAGCAGAACUGGGGAUGAGGGNGUAAGUGCAGAAGGGUGUAACAACUUACCUGCCGAAUGAACCAGCCCUGAAAAUGGAUGGCGCUACAGGCAGCUACCGAUACCAGGCCAUUAUUGCAAAUUUUUAGCACUGGACCUUUUGCGAUAAUGAGUGGGAAGACGUGGGGAUGGUAGCGAAGCAUUGGGCGUGAGCCUGUACGGAGCGGUCUCUAGUGCAGAUCUUGGUGG
rnacentral:ncRNA from 1 species